rnacentral:rRNA from 1 species
UACAGGGGGUGCAAGCGUUGUCCGGAAUCAUUGGGCGUAAAGCGCGUGUAGGCGGCUCGGUAAGUCCGCUGUGAAAGUCGGGGGCUCAACCCUCGGAUGCCGGUGGAUACUGUCGGGCUAGAGUACGGAAGAGGCGAGUGGAAUUCCUGGUGUAGCGGUGAAAUGCGCAGAUAUCAGGAGGAACACCAAUUGCGAAGGCAGCUCGCUGGGACGUUACUGACGCUGAGACGCGAAAGCGUGGGGAGCAAACAGG